AAAGCACUUUCAGUCGUGAGGAAGGUAGUGUAGUUAUAGCUGCAUUAUUUGACGUUAGCGACAGAAGAAGCACCGGCUAACUCCGUGCCAGCAGCCGCGGUAAUACGGAGGGUGCGAGCGUUAAUCGGAAUUACUGGGCGUAAAGCGCAUGCAGGUGGUUUGUUAAGUUCAGAUGUGAAAGACCCGGGGCGUCAACCUCGGAAUAGCAUUUGAAACUAGGCAGACUAGAGUACUGUAGAGGGGGUAGGAAUUUCAGGUGUAGCGGUGAAAUGCGUAGAGAUCUGAAGGAAUACCGGUGGCGAAGGCGGCCCCCUCGGACAGAUACUGACACUCAGAUGCGAAAGCGUGGGGAGCAAACAGGAUUAGAUACCCUGGUAG
rnacentral:rRNA from 1 species